GUGCUCUGGGAGGACAGAGCUGAGCCUGGAGCAAGGGGGGAGGGGAAAGAAGAUAAUGAAUGGGCACAUCCACCCUGAUCUGUGAUCUGUAGCUAGGAUUGAGCAAACCUCAGCUAAAUUCUUCAGAGGCAGAAAGAGAGAGACACUCAAAGAACAACAUAACUAGAGGACAGGGCUGGGAGACAGAAGGGGCAAAACAGGAAAACAGCUCAUUUCUAGUAAGUGACUUUAAACUCAGCUGAGGUCCUGGUUGGUUCUCUGGCUUGAGGAAAGAGAGGAAGUAAGGAGUUGCGGGAGCGCACACACACUUCUGUGCGUGUGGAACGGUCUCACCCAGACGACCCCCCUCCCCCAAAGGAAAUCGAGAUAUUCCUCUAGGGCUAGAGGGGACAACUGGUUUUGUGGGACAGGAGGAAGGAAAACGGCGACAGACAGCACUCCCUGUCACUUCUAAAAGAGAAGAGGGACAGGUUCCUUCACACCUAGCAAAGAUCCUCCGAUUCUGGAAGCAGGGGGAGCGGAACUUAGGGUACCUCUCUCCCACAACUAGAAUGGACAGGCCAGAGGACAGUCAUAGCGGUUUCCUUAAGGCUCACCAAAGGCAGCCGCUCCGGAUCCGGAUCUCCACCUCCGCCCCGCCCCUCAAUACUCCCAGGUGAUUGACAGUGCGGAGACCAAUGGGAGGCACUCUUGGCCGACCUACCCAGCGGCGCCGGGGCGUCUGUGAUUGGGAAGGUGAGGAAAGCGCUGCAGGAAGAGUUCUCUGCAGGAUGCUGGGUGAGAUCAAAGGGAGAGCUUCUGCCACCACCUCCUACUUGGUGUGUGCGGGGGCCGGCACAAAGACCAUCUCUGCCUCUGCCUUCCCCUGCUCCUAGCCAGGGUCAGCUCUUCUCUCUGACGCGGAAUACAGAGCUGGACAACCUCUGCCUCGGCCCUCUCCAUCCGUAAAUAAAGACUAGAACCACCCCCACUCUGCACUCUCCCCCUCUAUGGAUCAGGAAUAUUUGUUUUUUCUGCUCCUCUCAAUAUGGACUGGGCCCGCUCCUGAUUCCUCCCACCCUUACCUCUCAACACAAACCAGUACCUCCUCUUCUUUUGCAUCUCAUCCUCAAGGGACACUACUGAAAACCUGUGUGGAAUCAAAGCUCACCGGAGACAGCUGUGGCCAUUGUGCCUAUAACGCCAACACCAGGCAUAUCCUGGAGCCUCAGCUGGAGAAUUUACCUGUCUUGGACAACCUGCCACAAAACUGUGCCCACAUCUAGUUCCAUCUGGUCAUCAGGGCGUCUCUCUUUCUUACACCCAUAACACACAAUCCCCACUUCCGCGCCAGUGUUCAUGAGAAGUGAAAAGGAAGAGGGAAGAGAGGGCUUGUUGGGAGGACAGAGGGGAUGGGGCAGAGUGGGAUUCCUAGCAGGUUCUGGCUGGUGACAAGCUCUUCCCCCAGCCCCCUUGCCAUACCCAGUUCUGGAACAGUUCCUUAUACAGGAGGGAUGGGUAGUCCCCUAGGCCCACCUUUCCAAGGCUGGAGGUGGGCCAAAGCCAGGACUCUGUCCUUCCCACAUACUGUGUGCAUACAUGGCUGUGACUGGGGUGCAGGGGAGAGAAGGGGGUAUAAUAGGCCCAUAGUGACUAAUUAAGUUUCUUCCUCAACCCUGGGGCCCCUGGUGGUGUGAAUGUGGUGCCAAGUAGAUUGGCUGGUGCCUCUGCCCUUCCUAGAGAUAGCAACUGGGCCCUGGGGUACAACGAAGGUGAGGGUGGGGAGUGAUUGCUGUGUUGGCUCCUCCAAAGCCCUGGGGCUCUCAGAGUAACCCCCAGAAACACCCAGAGCCAAUAACUACAAAAAUAAAGAGUUUAUUUCCUAUCCAAAAGUGAGCCCAGGGUGUUGGGUGGUAGAGGAGAGCUGGAGACCUGGGCGAGUUUUGGAGCAGUCCAGGCCCUGAGUGAGACCAUGUUGUAAUGGGGGAGAACAGGCUUGGCAGCGGUCUGGGGUCAGGGAAAGGAUAGGGAGUGCUGUUGGGAUUUUUGAGUUGCUAGCAGCAGAAGAGACCACCUUGAGAGACAGCCUGCAGAGAGACAGAAACAGAGAUGUUGACAGACCCACGCCUAGGAGUAGAAGCAGACAUUACUGGGCCCAAAAAGCACCUGUUGGGCACAGGGACCUGGGAACACACUGUUAGGUAAGGCAGAGGUUGCAAACUCAACCCCUGGGCUCCACCCCGGACAUUCCAAAUUGGAUGAGGCCCAGGAAUCUGCUUUUUAUUUUUUUAUUUUUUUGAGCCUCCGCGCCUGGCAGAAUCUGCGUUUUAAUAGGAUCUCAGGUAGUUCUGAUGGACACUCAAGUUUUGAGAACUCAAAUACCCACAGAGACCAAACAAAAAUUUCAAACAAGGGAAGCUAGCUGGGUGUCGGGAGAUGAUCAAGAAACGUGGUGACUGCGAAGUAGAGUGCAGAGCAGAUCCCAUCUAAAGAGGACAGUGGCCACCCAGCCCAGCUGAUUGCCAGUUAUUGCCAGAUGGAAUGUUGGCCCACGGUAGCCUGAUGUCCUGAGGUUUUUUUUGUUUUGUUUUGUUUGAGCAGGGUCUCACUCUGUCAC
rnacentral:lncRNA from 1 species